rnacentral:rRNA from 1 species
AAAGGAAUAGACGGGAGCCCGCACAAGCAGUGGAGUAUGUGGUUUAAUUCGACGCAACGCGAAGAACCUUACCAGGGCUUGACAUCCCGGGGACCCGGCGUAAUGGCCGGGGUGCCUCUUCGGAGGAACCCGGAGACAGGUGGUGCAUGGUUGUCGUCAGCUCGUGUCGUGAGAUGUUGGGUUAAGUCCCGCAACGAGCGCAACCCUUACUGUCAGUUGCUACGCAAGAGCACUCUGACGGGACUGCCGUUGACAAAACGGAGGAAGGUGGGGAUGACGUCAAAUCAUCAUGCCCCUUACGUCCUGGGCUACACACGUACUACAAUGGCGAGAACAAAGGGGGGCGAAGCCGCGAGGCGGAGCAAAUCCCGAAAAAAUCGUCCCAGUUCGGAUUGCAGGCUGCAACCCGCCUGCAUGAAGUCGGAAUUGCUAGUAAUCGCGGAUCAGCAUGCCGCGGUGAAUACGUUCCCGGGCUUUGUACACACCGCCCGU